rnacentral:lncRNA from 1 species
GUUAUACAAAUUUCCAACAUAUAAGUAUAUAACCUAUUGCAUGCCCACUAAUUAAGUGACUCCAGAGUCAUUGUUCAUACAUACAAACAUUAGAUGCAUGGUUUCCAGCUUGUUAUCUUUCAGGUGAUUAUUACUUGUAGGUGUAGCCACCUGCUCCAUUGUACUCUAGUGAAAUCCAAGUCUUUUCCAUUAAUUGACGGGAGGCCAUCCAAUCCAAGCUAGUUUCUCAAUAUGGACUAUUCUGUGGCUUGUUAGUCAAUCAGAUGCAGACCCGAUGCAUGAUCGUUUGCAUGGUCUGAGGUGAGUGAGAUUUCUUUCUUGACAAGCAUCCUAGUGGCGACACAAAUUGGUGGUUGUUUACAUUACCAAUUAAUUAAAUUACUGCACACACAAACUGUAUGAACCAAACAAAAAAAACUCCCCUUGUUGUUCAGAAAAUGAUUCAACUGAAGUGAAAUCAGACAUAACCGCAAAAUCCGGAAGAGCGGCGAAACCUCACCAAACUGGCAGGUGGCAGCAAUCCAAUCCUCGCCUGGAAGAACCGUAUCCAUCUCCUCGCCUCACAUCGCCAACCAACCAAGGAAACAGGGGGACAGGACCCGCUCGCCGUCGACGCAUCUAACUCCGACCCGCCCGCCGCCGCCUGCAGCGGUGCCCUCUCCGUCGGAAUCGCCAGGAUCGGGUCGGAUCACGGACAGUGGCGCACCCACCUACUUCUGGCCCAACCCAAUCUUUUGUUUUUAAUCAUUUCUACAUUUGGCCCAUCUGUUGCGGAGGGCUUUCUUCAGG